CAACAUUAUCCUCGCAGUCAUGGGAGCACCCUUCAGAACAUCAAGGAAGGAAACUCACAGAUGCCUGGGAUUUUUUUGCUGUCCUGGUGUUUCAACUAAGAGAGCUUCUGUGAGCCUCGCUUGGAAAGAGGCACCAUGUGCUUACACACAUAGGGAGUCCAAACUGCUCCAGAUACGAUGCUUAAGAUUCCUCAUUAAAACCAACUGAACACAAACAAAGUGAUUUUUUUCCCUAAUGCCUGAGAUUAUUUAAGUGGGAAAAGGGGAACAUUUUUUAAGAUGUUAAAAAUGCUUUUGGCGUUAUAUGCACCUGAGCAGAGAGACUCAGACUAGUUUGAAUCACUUCACUUUAUACUCGUUUGCACCUCCUAGUCCAUAAGAGUUGCAGUUUAAGAAAGCAGCACUUACUGCAGGAGGAAAUUGCAUCCAAAUCUCCAAACCACUUCAAACCUAAAGUUCUCUGAUCCUGUUAGGGUGUGGAAAAGCUCAAGAAUAAGGAUUUUCAAUUAUGUCUUUUACCCAAAAGAGACUUGGCAAGGCCCCUUGAAUAAUUCCAUUCUUUUAAUCAAGAAAUUGUUAUCUAACCUACUUCCAUUAAAUCAAAUUUAAAAAAAAAAAAAAAAAGG